CCUACGGGUGGCAGCAGUGAGGAAUAUUGGUCAAUGGACGAGAGUCUGAACCAGCCAAGUAGCGUGAAGGAUGACUGCCCUAUGGGUUGUAAACUUCUUUUGUCAAGGGACAAAAUCAGGCUCGAGAGCCUGACCGAGGGUACUUGAAGAAAAAGCAUCGGCUAACUCCGUGCCAGCAGCCGCGGUAAUACGGAGGAUGCGAGCGUUAUCCGGAUUUAUUGGGUUUAAAGGGUGUGUAGGCGGACUGUUAAGUCAGCGGUAAAAGCCCGGGGCUCAACCCCGGCGAGCCGUUGAAACUGGCUGUCUUGAGAUGUCGAGAGGUAUGCGGAAUGCGCAGUGUAGCGGUGAAAUGCUUAGAUAUUGCGCAGAACUCCGAUUGCGAAGGCAGCAUACCGGCGGCGAUCUGACGCUGAGGCACGAAAGCGUGGGUAUCGAACAGGAUUAGAUACCCCUGUAGUC
rnacentral:rRNA from 1 species